rnacentral:lncRNA from 1 species
UAAAUAUUAUUAUAAAAAUAAUAUCUUGAAACGGUUAUUUUAUCUUAUACCUCGCAUGAAAUAAAAUAAUCAAUCAUUUUAUUUUGAAAUUAUUUUAUCGUAUGCCUCGCAUCACGACUCUAAAUAUUAUUAUAAAAAUAAUAUCUUGAAACGGUUAUUUUAUCUUAUACCUCGCAUGAAAUAAAAUAAUCAAUCAUUUUAUUUUGAAAUUAUUUUAUCGUAUGCCUCGCAUCACGACUCUAAAUAUUAUUAUAAAAAUAAUAUCUUGAAACGGUUAUUUUAUCUUAUACCUCGCAUGAAAUAAAAUAAUCAAUCAUUUUAUUUUGAAAUUAUUUUAUCGUAUGCCUCGCAUCACGACUCUAAAUAUUAUUAUAAAAAUAAUAUCUUGAAACGGUUAUUUUAUCUUAUACCUCGCAUGAAAUAAAAUAAUCAAUCAUUUUAUUUUGAAAUUAUUUUAUCGUAUGCCUCGCAUCACGACUCUAAAUAUUAUUAUAAAAAUAAUAUCUUGAAACGGUUAUUUUAUCUUAUACCUCGCAUGAAAUAAAAUAAUCAAUCAUUUUAUUUUGAAAUUAUUUUAUCGUAUGCCUCGCAUCACGACUCUAAAUAUUAUUAUAAAAAUAAUAUCUUGAAACGGUUAUUUUAUCUUAUACCUCGCAUGAAAUAAAAUAAUCAAUCAUUUUAUUUUGAAAUUAUUUUAUCGUAUGCCUCGCAUCACGACUCUAAAUAUUAUUAUAAAAAUAAUAUCUUGAAACGGUUAUUUUAUCUUAUACCUCGCAUGAAAUAAAAUAAUUGUUCAUUUUAUUUUGAAAUUAUUUUAUCUUAUGCCUCGCAUCACGACUCUAAAUAAUAUUAUAAAAAUAAUAUCUUGAAACGGUUUUCAUGAUACUCUAAUAUAUUCUCUUAUUAAUAAGAGGAUAAGAGAGGAGCUUGUGAUAGUGAGGGCAUUUCAGUAAAUUGAAAAGCUGAAAAGUGGUACCAAAUGCAAAGCUGCCUCAUUUUACUGCCUCAUCCAUGCUGACACGUGUCCUGCCUUCCAAUCCACUGCACUCCUUAAAUUUUUUCUUCACACCCCUUAAAUUUGCUCUAUAAGACUAAAUAACUUAUUUUUUUAGUUGUUUCAUCUAUGGUUUUACUCCACCACUCUAAGAAAUUAUUUCAAAGUAAUACAAAUAUUAAAAUGAGGAUGAAAUUAACACAAAAUUAAUAAAUUAGGUCUUUUUCUUAAAUUAAAUAAAAUAAAAUUAAUAUUUUAAUAUCUUGCGAUGAUUAUAUUUGUGUUUAAAAAAAUAUCUUUUAAAAAAUAAUAUAAAUAAAUAAAAUAGAUUCAUGUAUAUUACUUGAAAUGAUGUAAAAAGUACUACAAGUAAUAAUUUCUAAUUUAAAAUUUUAAAAAAUAUAUAAAAAAUUUAAAUAAUUUUUGAAAUGUUAUUAAUACUACAAUAUUUAAAAUAAAAAAUAUCAUAUAUUAAUUAAAAUUUAUAUAAAUAUACUAUAAAUUAGAACAUAUCAAUAAUUUAAAACAUGUAAAAACUAAAUAAAAGAUUUUCAUGUUGGGCCCCACUAGUAUCCUUGUAAUAAAUUAGGAAUUAGCUAAAUUGGAGCAUAAAAUAGGGCAAGAGUGGAGAUGACCCUUUUUUGGUCAUUUAUGAGGGAUAGGAAUAUCUACGUAGUAGUGAACCCUGUUAUUUCCCGGCGGAAAAGUAAAUUGCCGCCGCCAUAUUCUGUCUUCAACUUCAUCUUCCACAGAAGAAAUCAAGAGAAUCAGUAAUCUCAAAUCUCAAAGAAAGAGGAGUUUUCGAGCAAAAUUUCAUGCAAUCCAAUUUGUACCCAUCAACCUGCACCCGUUCUUGUUUAUCAUGGAAUCCAGACAAACCCCACAUCACCUCACCCAAAAUCUUUGAACAACAAAGACUCCUAAAUAAUACACCUCCCAAGCUCAAAACGUCAAUUAACUCCCCAGGUGUAUCUAAUUCUUCCAAAACCUCAUUAAACUUGAAGUUGAAUAAGCAAGAAGAAGAAACCACUCUGCCUUGUUAUCUUCCAGUCUCUAUUCGUGACUCUAAUAGUCAUUCUAGGUAUAUUUGGGAUGGGAAAGAAUUGAAGUUGGUCUCUCUUAACGGGAAUGCCUUUUCUAUAUACGAUGUCGACUCUAAUUUUGAAGAUACACUUCGAAAGUUGCUCCGAAUUUGUGUUUCUGCAAUAAGAAAUUUCUUUCUUCCCAGGGAAGUUAGUCGUAAUUAUCUUGAAUAUGUGAAGUGGAAGUUUGUUCAUCGUGUUUCCAGUUCUACUCUCCAAGUUCUGGCGACCCAGGUACACUUUGUUUUUGUAUUUCAGCUCUAAAUUACUGUUAUACUUCAAAGUUUUGAUUUUGAUGUUCAAUUUUCAUAUUUCAGCUAUUUAGCUAGUUAAUACUUGGUAUUUAAUCGUCAUAUUCAGUAUAUUGGACUUAUAAAUUGUUGUACAUGGUGAAAGUUUCAAUAUUGGAUUUUCAGCUACUAAACUUGUAAAUUAUCUGACUACUUGGUAUUAAAGUUAGUAUUUUGAUGCUCUCGAACUUGUGAAUUGUUGGUGAAGUUAAUAAGUUUAGCUUUUGAUUUUGCAUAUUCGGAUCCCGCCCAUUGAACUUGUAAACUUGUUUAUUAGUAUUGAGUUUGGAUUCUUCUGUUGGAGCUCAUGAUAUUUGUCCCGGGACACUGGUGUAAUUAGUCAUUAUGAUCUUUAUGUGGGGAAUUGAUCUUUUAUUAGUUCACCUGUGGAAUUAGUUAUUAUGAUCUCACUAGUUCACUUGAUAUUUGUGUACCUGCACAAUGUGAGUUAGCAUCUAAGGUGCAUGUCAAUCAAAUACCUUCCUUUACAAUGGCUUGUGUAACUGGUUGUAUUUUGUGAAUGACGACGAUAUACAGGCUAUGUUGCGGGCAAUUGGAAUCGGGAACUCUCGUUCACUUCCAUUAGCUGCUGCACUUAAUUGGGUCCUGAAGGAUGGUCUUGGACGGUUGUGCAGGUGCAUCUACACUGCUAGCCUAGCAUCUUCUUUUGAUACCAAUCUAAAGGUAUAGCUUUCUGACAUAAAACAACAGGGAAUGUUUUGCACUAGUCAGCUUAUAAAGCGUAUUUUAUUGAUAUUUGAUAAUAAGAAUUCAUUUUUAUCUUUUGGGAAAUGGUGCUUAUUUAUCUUUUCUAAGAAUGUUGACUGGUAAAACAGAAAGAUUGCCAGUUUUUAAAGCAAGAUUACCUCAAGAGACUAUGUAAAAGUUUCAUCUACUUGUUUCUUACUUUGUUUUAUGGGGUUGUCUGCAGAGAGUAAGGUUCUGCACAUCUGUUCUCUUCAGUUUGAGCAUUGGGGUUGAAUUGUUGACUCCUGUAUUCCCACAAUACUUUUUGAUGCUUGCAUCAAUUGCCAACAUUGCCAAGCAAAUAAGCCUGGCCUGUUACCUAGCAACUAGUGUAAGCCUCGACUGCAAACCAUAUGAAGAUAUAUAUGCAUGUGUUUGGUAUCUGAUCUCAAUUUCUCCAGCUUUAUCUCUUUGUUUAUGAUGCUUGUUAUAUGUGGCUAGCUAUUUGAGUGAUAUCUUUUCCAUUAAGCUGUUAACUGUUUCAAUUCCCUUUAUAGUUUCUAACAAUUCCACUGCAAUUUGACAUAUUAAUCGACUCUUCAAAAUCUUGUUAUAUAGAGGGCUAUUAAGAUCUGAAGUGCCUUUGGCUUAUGCAUAUAGUAAGCUGAUAAUAUAUGCACUUACAAUUUCUACUGUGAGGUCCCUGGUGAACUAUAGCAUUAUAAAGCUGAUGCUACUUAAUUUUGUCACUUGGUUGAAUUGCUUUCUAAAAAUGGAAUUAUUUGAGGUUGAGUACUCUAAUCUAGUAGUCAUCUAAUUGCUUCUGCUAAUGACCAAUUCAUUUUCGUAAGUCCUAGAAAUCUGAGAGCAACAAUAUGUCUUCUGGAUUUAAGCGUUUUUAGCAUAACUAUAACAGCUGGAAAAGAAUUGAUGCAAUUAUAGACCUUGAAUUUCUUCCCUUCCAUGCAAGUGAAAGAUAAAAAUCAUCACAGAGUAAGUGCUUCUUUUUGCCAGUUAAUAUGGAAAUUGAUAUGUUCACUAAUUGCAGUUUCUUAAAUAGCCAAAUCUCAUGUUGAAUUUUAGUGAUAUGAAUAAGCACAAGUGUCUUCUGGAUUCAUCAGUAACAUUAAACAUGUUGACAGACUGCUGUUCAUAGAAGCUUUGCAAUUGCUGACAACCUUGGCGAGGUUUCUGCAAAAGGACAGGUUCUUUAUAAUAUUUCAACAUGUUAUGCUGGAUCUGUGGUUUCAUGAUUAAUUGUUCUUAUUAAUUUCACUGUGUGUCUGUUGGUUUAUGUUUCAGAUUCAAACGGUCUGCUUUGAUAAUCUUGGUCUUACACUUGCUGCAACCCUGAAUAUACUGUCUGCUAAUAAUCCAAGGUUCGCUAUUUUCCCAACUCGAAUUUCUGAAGUGUCUCUGUCAGCUUUUAUCUAUGUUUUGCAAUUACAUAGAGAUUCUUUGCAUUUGCCUUCAUGAACCUAUCCAUUUGGCCUAUCUGAUUGUGCUUGAAGUGGAACAGUUUAUACAACAUGGCUCUUUAUUAUUUCCUUUUUACAUUGUGAUAUGAAAAGUGAACAUGUGAUUUAUAUCUUCUGCCAUUCCUUAUAUAAUAAGGUCCUAAAACCAAAUAUUGGUUGACAUGUGCUGCUUCUGCUAAUCCCUAUAAUGUAGAUGCCUAACUUCUGAAUGAUAUAAAAGAUUGCAAGCAGGUCUACCAUUUGUGAUGUAUCCAAUCUUCUCAGCGCUCGACCUUUAUGGUAUUUAUCAAGGACUAAAGCAUGUGCAUCUGCAAACAUUAACUAAGGUUGGCCCUUGUUCUCUAUGCUGAAAGCUUUAGUAUUCAAGUUGAAUUAUACUACCUUUUUUCGGCUACCUACCUAAGGUUAUAUUUGCUUUAAUGAGAAGAAAUAUGUGAUAUGUCGUGAUCUACUUAACAGUCUAUUGAAUAAAUGUUAAUCAUCUUAACAUGUUGAUUCAGUUAUAACUCCUUUUACAUUACUUCCAGGAUAGGCUUGACAUCAUUAUAAGCACAUGGAUUCAACAAGGAUUUGUUCCAUCACCUGAAGAGGUGAGUAAACAGGAGGGUAUUGGCUUAUUUUGGAGCAAAGGUAAUUUCUAACUUCUGUUUUGCUGUAACAAGGCUUUAUUGCUUGGAUUAGUGCUACUUCAUUAUUAGAGAAACAUUCUUAAUCAGCUUUAAUCAGGCAGAGAGCCGUGGUCUAUCAGAAUUGGUUGCUUAAACCCUAGACGUUGCCCAGCAAAUCUAUCUGUGAUGACGAUGCAAUCUUUGAAUAGUGAAGACUUUUAUUUCUUGAGCCCAGAGAGCUUGACUUUUGAAUUGAAAAGGAACCAGGAGGUAUGUAUAGCCAAAAAGCAUAAGAAAUUUAAUCAGGGACAGGCAAGCUGUUGCUCUUCUGAAUGUGUUUCUUAAGCAGUUCUUCUUGCUUUGCUAUUACAGUAUGGUGUCCUACUUUGUCUGCGGGAAGGGGCAGGCACUGUAGAUGUGGUCAGGGGCAUAUUGCAUGUAAGAUAUUAUAUCCAUCUCUUACUCUUAUAGUAACAACUGUACGUUGGAACUAAUGAUUUUCCUUUGCAAAUGAACCAAGGGAUGCUGAUUACCCAAUAGUUUUACUUCGAAUAACAUAUCCAGCAAAUGCUUGUUUCUUGCUGAGCUCCUUAUAAUGGCUAGUAUUUUCUUUAUAAUAAGCGACUCUGGUGAUUGACAGGCAAGUUAUCUCCGCAAGGAUAUGGAAGCUUGUGGUAGUUCUAAUGCAGUUCUCAAGCUAUGGUUUAACCUGGUUGAAGAUAGCAAGAGAUUAACAGAACAAAACUUGAGUCUCUUGUAUGAGCAAAUGUUGUCUACAGGGUGGGCAUGUAAGAAUAUUCUGUUGAGCACGCAAGAGCAAGCUCGCUAUAGUUUUAUAGCUGACUAAGCAUAUAGAUAUCUUCGUCCGUCUAUGGUUGGUUUGCAAACAGGAAAGCGAAUAAAGGGUCAAAGAAACCAAGACGAGGAGAUUUCGUCCAUAUGUCCUUGUAUUUGUAUAUAAUAGAAACUUUGGGCAUCUCUGUCAAAUGAAAAGAGAUGCCUCAUACAAGUAGGUGAGUACCUGGUAAAGAGAGCAAAUGUUGUACAAAUUUUGGGCAUCUUUCCCCGUAUUGUAGAUUAACCAAUUUGAGGUUUAGCAACGUUAUCAAUAGAUUAUUGUUUCUUCAUUCAUCCAUUUUGUCUGAAGGGUUUUGUAAUCGUUUCAAUUUAAAAAACUUGAUACAUUUUAUUUAUGAAUAUACAAGCUCCAUAUGAGCAAGUCAGAUUCUUUUCCCUCAGCAGAUAUCGUUUCAUUGUGACUAGCAUAAGACUGGAAUUCAAGGCCUUGACUUAAUAUAUGAUGGAGUAACUUAUCACAGAAUAAUCUAUUCCCGACCUUAAUGAUGAGACUGCUGCAGUUCUGACAGUUGGGCAAUUCCCACCCAUAAUUAUCAAUAAAAUUGCAAUGUACCAUUAAAAAGUUGUUACAUCCUUUAAAUUGUUUUUUGGUUUUACCCAUCCGGUGUCCAAAACCGGGCUCGCUGUUUAACACCUUUACCAGAGCGUAUAUUUCUCAGUAAAGCAAGCAAAUGAACGCAGGCAUUAGCCGGAGCUAAAUCUUCAAAAUCAUCAGCCAUCAUUUGGUACGUAGCAAGCCGGAUGUAGAUAGAAGCCGUAAAGCUUGGCUGGAAUUGUUUAGAACAGCUGAUGAUCUUGACACCUGCAUCUUCCGUUUCUUUAAGAAUUCCAGUGAGCUCUCUAAGCACGGAGGAGGUGGUAGAUCCUUCAAAAUAACUGGUCCAGACCUGUCCAAGCCAACAGAAAUUCAGUCAGUAAAUAAGAGCAAGUUAUCAAAAUUAUGCACAAUUAAACCAGAAGGGAACAUGAUCCUCACCCAGAGCUUUUGGAUCUUUUCUUUUUCGAUGUUGGCUUCUUCUCAUGUUCUUCCUCCGAGUCUGAUGAGAACACUUUCCUGCACACAUUGAGGACCGUGUUUCAAGAACUGAAGAGUAUGAGACGAAGACCAGAACUACGAAUACACCAAGAAAUACAACAACUUACUUCUCACGAGCUGCAAGAAUUUUCACAAUAUCAUCAGGUAGCAUUCCUCUAUUGUCCUUUGACUCCUGGGCAUUUUCAGGUUCUUUUGUGUCUUCAAUGCUUUCAUCAUUUUGUGUAGGUCGUGGAGUUAACUUUUGAGCCCAUUGUCUACGACGUUCCUUCCCUUCUCGAACAACUCUACAACAGAGCAACUAUUUCAUGACAAAUGGUGCAAUGAACAGAAGUUGCUCACAUUUUGUAAUUAAUGGCUAAUAAUCCCCAGGCAAAGAUUACCAAAUAAAACAUGUGGAAUUUCCCAAGUAUAUCUCCCCAAAUGAAUAAAAGUUACAGGUAGCUUACACCAAUUUUCAGGACUUAAAUAAUGGAUCAUCUAAAAUGUUAUACAUAACAGGCUCAAAGAACCAUAAGCAAAUCUAAGUUGCCAUCUACACCAUGGAUCUGCAUGGCAAAUAGAAGAACUUUCAUAUUUUCCAGAACCUAUACUGAUUACUGACCUACAUUUAUCCUCCAAACCAUCAGAACAAACCAGUUUGUAAAGACAACAUUUCCAGACUAAAACACAUGUACCUAAAUAUCAAGCCUAAAACAAUGCACUAAUAUAAUACAUGAUUACUUCUCAAUUCGAAAAAAUCUUUCUCCUUUUUCUCUUGUCACGCUGCUUUUGUACAAGAGUUCAAAUCUCAGUGGAACCUUUACUCUUAAAAAAAAAAAAGAUUCUUUGUACAAAAUGCAACUUUUCUCCCGUACUAACCUUAAGGAGGUAUGGAGUAAAUAGAUUUCUUAAUAAUCAAACUAAUUCAACUCUUUAUCACCAGAUAAAUAGCAAUUAAGCCAGAAUCUCAUCUGAAAAGUUGAAGUUAUGACGAUUCACCAACAAUCACAUUAACCCAGGUAUGGACAAAUGAAAUGCCAUAUUAAAUUUCAAAAUUGGCAGAAAAUAGUGACUCCCAGAACUACCUCCACAAACAAAAAAACAGUACUGAUCUUUCUCAAGAAUACAAGCUUUCAAAUUAAAACUGAAAAGGAUCCAUAAUUUUAAGUCAGAGGAUUCAGAGCACUUGAACAGAGUUCAAGUAUUUAUCAAUACUAGAAUGACUAAUAAAUAAUCUAGUAGAAACCUUAAAAAAGCUAAAUUUUAACUUCCAAUUACCUUCCCUAAAAAAAAAAGGCAAAUUCUGAACUGAGCAUACCUAGUCUUAUGUUCUCUUUCAACUUUUCUAAUCUCCUCAUCGUUUUGAAUUCCCUGAAAAGAAAACAAGUUAGCUCAACUUCGGCUACAUCUGCUAUUGCAAAAGACAGUAAUUUGAUAAGAGAUAUCGGAGUUAAGCAAACCUGUAAGGAAGUUAGUUCUUCGGGGGCAUCAGAAUCGCUUUCUUCUCCUCUUCCCGACAUAUCGAUUGAACAAACUAUCGCACUUCUGCAGAGGGUUUUAGGGUUAGGGUUUUGGAGGAACUUCCGGAGUGAGUCAGCGUACUCGUGAAAAUUGAAAUAAUGAUUUGCCUUGCCCCAAAGCCCAAAUGUAUUUUGUGUAUUUUAACGUAUUAGAUAUAAUUUAGACACAUUCUGUUUUUAUCUAUGGGAUCAUAAAUGUUUUGGUAGGAGAUAUUAGAGAUUUAAUUCUUGUAAAAAUUGUAUUAUUUAAUAUUAUGUUUGCUAUGAAUUUUAGGUUUAGGUAUAAUUAAUUCAUAGAUUAGUUAAUAUAUCGUAUAUGGUAUUAGUUAAUAUCUUCUAUUUGAUUGUAUUAGUUAAUAUCUUCUAUUUGAUGGUAUUAGUUAAUAUCUUCCAUUUAAUACAUGGGAUUAAAUAGGUAAAGAAAAACAUAUCCCUCUAAUUUUUUUAUUUUCUUGAUUUUAUGUUUUAUAUUUAUAAAUUUGUACUAGUAAAUUUAUUAAUAAAUUAGCUUAUAAAUUUUAUUUAUUUGUGGGUUCAUAGUUAUAUAAUAUAAAAAAUUAAUAAAUUUACCAUGUCAAAUUUUAUAAUUUUAUUUAUUUGUGGGUUCAUAUUUAUAUAAUAUAUAAAAAAUAUUUUUUUCAUGCCACUUUUUUUAUAAUUAAUUUAGUUGAGUGAUUUUAUUGAUACAAAAUAAAGUCCAAUGAUGUUAAAUAUAAUCUCAAAGUUGAGUGAUCUUGUAAGAUAUAAACACUAUAUUAAAACUACAACUUCUAAAUUUUUAUGUGUAAAUAUAGGUUGUCUAUUUUACAAUUGUUUACCGUCUUUUCUAUAUUAAUAAUAGAUGGUCUAUCUUUAUUAAAUUAAAGAUUGACAUUUUAUUAGUGAUGAAUUUAUUAAGAUUAUAAUUAUUUAUUCUCAAAUAAUUCAAGUGAGAAAACAGCAAACAUAAUGACAUAAUUAUUAUUCUCCUAAUCAGUUAGAAGUCACAAAAAAAUCUAUUUUGAUCUAAUUACAUAAAAUAGAAAAUCUCAUAAUAGUUCAAGGGCAUAAUUAAAAAGAAACUUUUUAAAGAAUUCUAAAUCAAACACAAAAUUAAAUGAAAAAUGAUAAANUUGAUAAGAGAUAUCGGAGUUAAGCAAACCUGUAAGGAAGUUAGUUCUUCGGGGGCAUCAGAAUCGCUUUCUUCUCCUCUUCCCGACAUAUCGAUUGAACAAACUAUCGCACUUCUGCAGAGGGUUUUAGGGUUAGGGUUUUGGAGGAACUUCCGGAGUGAGUCAGCGUACUCGUGAAAAUUGAAAUAAUGAUUUGCCUUGCCCCAAAGCCCAAAUGUAUUUUGUGUAUUUUAACGUAUUAGAUAUAAUUUAGACACAUUCUGUUUUUAUCUAUGGGAUCAUAAAUGUUUUGGUAGGAGAUAUUAGAGAUUUAAUUCUUGUAAAAAUUGUAUUAUUUAAUAUUAUGUUUGCUAUGAAUUUUAGGUUUAGGUAUAAUUAAUUCAUAGAUUAGUUAAUAUAUCGUAUAUGGUAUUAGUUAAUAUCUUCUAUUUGAUUGUAUUAGUUAAUAUCUUCUAUUUGAUGGUAUUAGUUAAUAUCUUCCAUUUAAUACAUGGGAUUAAAUAGGUAAAGAAAAACAUAUCCCUCUAAUUUUUUUAUUUUCUUGAUUUUAUGUUUUAUAUUUAUAAAUUUGUACUAGUAAAUUUAUUAAUAAAUUAGCUUAUAAAUUUUAUUUAUUUGUGGGUUCAUAGUUAUAUAAUAUAAAAAAUUAAUAAAUUUACCAUGUCAAAUUUUAUAAUUUUAUUUAUUUGUGGGUUCAUAUUUAUAUAAUAUAUAAAAAAUAUUUUUUUCAUGCCACUUUUUUUAUAAUUAAUUUAGUUGAGUGAUUUUAUUGAUACAAAAUAAAGUCCAAUGAUGUUAAAUAUAAUCUCAAAGUUGAGUGAUCUUGUAAGAUAUAAACACUAUAUUAAAACUACAACUUCUAAAUUUUUAUGUGUAAAUAUAGGUUGUCUAUUUUACAAUUGUUUACCGUCUUUUCUAUAUUAAUAAUAGAUGGUCUAUCUUUAUUAAAUUAAAGAUUGACAUUUUAUUAGUGAUGAAUUUAUUAAGAUUAUAAUUAUUUAUUCUCAAAUAAUUCAAGUGAGAAAACAGCAAACAUAAUGACAUAAUUAUUAUUCUCCUAAUCAGUUAGAAGUCACAAAAAAAUCUAUUUUGAUCUAAUUACAUAAAAUAGAAAAUCUCAUAAUAGUUCAAGGGCAUAAUUAAAAAGAAACUUUUUAAAGAAUUCUAAAUCAAACACAAAAUUAAAUGAAAAAUGAUAAACCAAACACGAGAUAAAAAAUAGCCCUAGCAUUAUUAAUCCCUGCAUAACUAAUUCCUUCAUUAUUAAUCCCUACAUUACUACUCCCUGAAUUAUUCAUUUUUGUACCAAACGACCCCUUAAUGUAUAAAAAUUAAAAAUGCCCUUCUUUUAGCUAUCUAAACUAGUUACGAAUAGUUUUUCAUGAAUUUAUUUUUUAAUGAUAUAAUUAAAUAUUAUUAAAUUUUUUCAUUAAGUGUAAAAUUGAUAUCCAAUAAACAUAUUAUUAAUAUUGAUUAAAUUUUAAAUUUGAUGAUUGUAGUACUUCCUAUUUGACACAAAUAUAAUCAAGAAAAAAUAUUAAAAUAGUUAUUUAAUUUUUAUUUGUCUAGUUUAAAGAGAAAUUUGUGUUAUCUUAUCUACUUAACUUAAAAUAACUGAUUGGGAUGAUUAGUGAAGUCAUAGUUGAAGCAACUGGGGAAAUUAUUUAUUAGUGGUAAUAUUGCAAAAUCGCAGUUGAAGCAAGCAGCUACCUUAAAAAAUUAAAUUAAAAAAUCCACAAAAUAAUUUUAUGGGUCCCGCAUAAUGUAUAAGAAGAAGCGCAGCUUAAGCAGGCAUGUCGACGGAGAGGUGCAUGCUUGGUUGCCCAACUCCCUCUUGUAUAAUACUAGUAAACACAGUCCGGACAACGAAUAAAUAUGUUUGAUUAUUUUUAUACUGUUAUUCUCAUGAUCGAAAUAUUUUGAUUUGGCCGUAUGUAAUAAAGGAGGAGGAGAAGCAGACAACUUAAGCAACCAGCUGAAGCGCACAUGUAGUCCAACAGCUAGCUGCAGCUUCCGCAACCUCUUUCCUAUUAGAGGUAAUAUUGUAAAAUCAUAGUUGAAGUACCUAAAGAAAUAUAAAAUUAAGUAGCUGAAGCAGGAAUGUCAAAGCCUGGGAAAUAUUUUGAUUAAGCCGCAUGUAAUAAAGGAGGAGGAGAAGUAGCUGAAGGAAUAUAAUUAGGUAAUUGAAGCAGGCACGUCAAAGUCCGCGGAAUAUUUUGAUUGGACCGCAUGUAAUAAGGGAGGAAAAGAAGCAAGCACCUCAAGCAAGUAGUUGAAGCAAGCAUGUUGUACAUCAACUGCCUAUUUCAACAGCUUUUGUAGUCUCCUAUUAUUAAGUAGUCGAAGCAGGCACAUCAAAGUCGAUAGAAUAUUUUGAUUGGACUGCAUUUAAUAAAGGAAUUUGUAAAUUGUGUAGCUACGUUUGUAAAAGUUUAAGAUGCGACGACAUAUAAGAUCGUCUUGAAGGGUAAAUUGAAGGAAUUCAAUAGUUUAUGUAGUCUCUUAUUAUUACGUAGCUGAAGCAGGCACAUCAAAGUCGAUAGAAUAUUUUAAUUGGACUGCAUGUAAUAAAGGAACUUAUAAAUUUUGUAUAGCUACGUUUGUAAUAGUUUAACACGUGGAGAGUCCUAAGGGGUAAAAUUGGAGGAAAAUAAAAGCGUUGCUGCAUAGUAAACUCUUACGCCUUGUUUGGAUGGAUGUUACCCGUCGUAUGCUAUGAACACUCUAUAUUUUGUCAUAUUGUUAAUUUAUUGAUUGCUACUUAAAUUUUAUUAUCUCAUAUGGUUUAAAGUCAUUAGUAGGUAACGACAAAAAAAUUCAUUUUGUAAAAUGAGCAAAAUUUGUUGUGGUCACAAUUUAUGUCGUUAACUUCAUAUUUUCUUCUCAUUUUGCCUUUAUUUAUUAUUUAAUAAAUAAUUUCUGGAGAAAGUAAUUAAAAAAGAGAAAAAAAAGAAAAGAAUAAGCAAGAAAAUUAGUUUGGAACGUGGGGCCCACGUGAGGGUGUAUUGUUGAUUGCAUGGAGCUGACGUGGAGCAUUUUCAUUGGAGGGGUGGUAGUGACACUUAUGGCCCACAUGAGGGGUAUUGUUGAUUGCAUGGGGGCUGACGUGGAACAUUUUCAUUGGAGGGGUGGUAGUAAUGACAGUGACACUUAUAAUACACAGAGAAGAGAAAAUAUGACUAUUAAAUAUUAUUUAAUAUGUCUUCAUUUCGUGCUAUUUUUAUAUAUUUUAUUAAUAAAUAUAAUAUUUUUAUAAUAUCAAAAUAUUUUUAAAAAUUAUUUUUAGCCGUCAAAUUUGUUUAAAUAAAAAUCCAACUGUUUAAUUCAUUUUACCUUUGUUAGAAUAGUUUUUUCCAUCACCUAAUAAUUUGUCUUUUAAAAAUUAAUGAGAUUUUUGUCUGAAUUAUGUUAAAUGCUAUUGGAUGUACACUCAGAAAAAGUUCAACAAAAAUUAUCUUUCUAAAAAUCACCCCUGGUCCUUAAUUUUAAUCAGUAGUAGAAUUUGAAAUUUAGACAAACUCAAAAUGCACAACCUGUAAGCUAUAACAAACAUAAAGUUUUCUACAAAAAAAUAAAUAAAUAAAGUUAAAGAAACAGUCGAUGUAAAAAAAAUGAUCUCAUUAUGGUGGAUUUUGACGUCGAACUCCAAAGAAUUUAAUCGCUAUAAUACGUGCUUGAACCUAAAAAUGAAAUGAAAAUUUUGACUACCAACAAUAUAAUAAAUUUGGAACUGAACAAGAUGAGCUGGCUCAGGCUCAGGCUCAGGCUUUCAGUCGUGUAAUUAUCUGACUAAGAGACUAAUUAAACCUUGUUUAAACAGUCAGAACUGGUUUGGUUCGACUAAUUAAGAAGAUAAUCCCAACAUAAAAUUUCCCAUAAUGAAGCAUUACCAGAUACAAUCUCAACAUGACUAAUGUACUUUGCAAGCGACAAAAGUGUGAAGAAAACUUUACAAAAUUAAUCAAUCAUAAGUACUUUAUAUGUCAAAAGUACAUAAUCACAUAACCACAAAUGUUUAAACCACGUCCAACACAAAACCAAAUCCAUUUAUUCAUCGGUUUAAUAGUAAACGAGGAGGUCUGCUCGCAGCAUUGAACAUUAAGAUCCAUGAUUGUAGUUCAUCAAACAGCUCGGAGUACCAGAGCCCAGAUUGGAUAGACCAACAGAAGGAUUAUACCAACUGUGUUAGAUAUACCAUUGCUUUGUGUGAAGGAAUUUCUGAAUCCACCAGAGGCUCUAAUGUGUUCUUGGAGGAGAUAGCAGCCUAUCAAAAGACAUAUCACAGUGCCAACCCAACUGUCUCUGAAAGUGUGUGCAAAGAGAUUGGGUGCAACCACUAGGAGUAGGAUUAAUGAACCAGGCAUCUCCAACCAGUCUGUAUUUUGUGGACAACAUUAUAAAGAAGGAUUAGCAUAUAAGCACCAUAGAGCAAGCAUUACUAGCGUAACUUGAGCAGAAAUAUUGGUACCAUAAAUUGAAGUAGAUAGUUAUACAUAGGCAAAUUUCGGAUUACGAAUUAGUGGGUACAGAGUGAGUGUUGAUUCCCCCUUAUCAGUUGUGAAAGGGUGGUUUGAUCUCCUUAUAUGGUCUUGAACAAUCCUCCCCUCAUAAUCUAGCUUUUGGGGUAAGUUAGGCGCAAGAUUCAUUUCUUGACCUUACAUGAAGUUUAAUUGUUUGUUUUAGUUCAUACAGAAACAAUAGGUUCAGUUGAAUUCAUAGAACCUGCUCUAAUUUCACCUCCAUGUGUGUGUCAAUGUGUGUAUUUUUAGAAGAACAGUGUACGAGCCUGUGUGCAUGCACAUCAACUAAUCCAUCGAGUACCUGCUUCUCCCACCAGCACAGCUACUGGAUAACUCUGCCCUACCAAGACUUGCACAAAAUGGAAAGAACCUAAUACUUUUUAGUCUGCUAGUUUUGAACACGGUUUUCUCAGGGUCAUCUGCCCUUUGCUGACCACCAAGCCCUACCCUUGAGUACAUUAUUAAAGUAGAUAUUGACCAGCUAGAUUCACAAAGGAGCUUGAAGUAAUCUAGCUAGUGUUCCACCAUCUAUGACUUAAGUCUUAAGGAGAUAAAUAGAUUUGGUGGAGCUAAUGCUCAAAUUUUUUCUAUUUUCUCAUGGGUGCUAUUGUGCUAAUGCUCAACAUAUUUUAUGAGAAACUCCAUUAAGUUCAUCAUUGAGAGCUCCAGAGUGUGAAGCUAUUUUAUCACUAUAUGCAAAUCAUGCUUUACCGUUCAGGACAAAUACAAAAAAUCUACCAAAGAAAGCAAAAUCUCAAAGAUAAUCCUAGUAACUGUUCCCAGAUGCAUAUGCUGCAACAUCUGCAGAAGCUUCCAGAUUAUCUCUAGAAUUGCUAGUGAAGAACACAUCAUUUUCUCCAUUGAUAAACAUGCAUAUAGUUGUGGAAAGGAGAAUGCUGGUAGUAUGAAUGAACAAUUUGACAAAUACUGGUUUUGGUGGCUGGGCUAGUAUCCCAUCGCUGUGUGAAGCUUGGAUUUUCAAAAGUAUACUCGCAGAAACUUUUUGAGUUCAAUACCUAUCAGCAUGGGAAAAUUGAGACAUAUCUCUUCCAUGAGCCAUAACAUGUGCUAAUAAUUGGGGUCCAUAUUACUUGCUGAAAAGCAUUUCUACUUGUGUUUUUUUUUUCUUUUAAUAUUAAGAAACAGUUAAUGGAAAAGGUAAAAGAAACUUGGAUUACAAGCAAAAGAACUUAGUUGCAGAAAAAUGAAAAUGAUAGCCAAUAGGUUAUUUUCAUCAUGUAAAUCAAAAACUAAUGUUCAUACCUGGAAAAUGUCGUGGGAAGAAAAGCCUGAGUACAACUGCAACGAAAGCAAUCCAUUUCCCAACCUCUCCUCUGGAGAUCAAAAAUGAUAACUGAUUAAUGAAGAAAAGAACCUCUUUGAAUCAGGUAGCAAUCAAGUGAGAAGAGAAUCUCUUGGAUGUCAAAGAAGCAAGGAAAAUUAAAUAGUAGCAAAUAAGAGAAAGUUUACCUGAAGAAGUGGAAUAACACUGAAGGGAAACUGAAGAAAAUAUACGGGACUAGAAGUCCAGUCAGCAUAUUUGUUUUCCAGUUUGUCCGGUCCAGUAUAAGCAAAUAACUGCAGAUAAUAUUUGCUCAGACGGUUAUCACAAAAUCCAUCAGGAAAAAGGUGUAAAUUCUAGAUUCUAAACAAACCUGUUUAACUAUAUAUAAGUUAAAAGCAUUUAAAAUUACUUGCAACUAGCAAACUGACCACAUUCCACCAAGAUGAAUCAUAUUUCACCAGCUCUCUUAACAACAUCAGAAUGUACUUAUCCAAUUGUUUAAUCUAAACAACAACAACAACAACAUACCCAGUGGAAUCCCACAAGUGGGGUCUACGGAGGAUAAAAUGUACGCAAACCUUACCACUGCCUCAUAGAGAUAGAGUGUCUGCUUCCAGAAAACCCUCGUCUCAAAAAUCAAGCCAUAAGCAGAAGAUACUAGAGAUGGAAUCGUAUCUGGGGAAUUGUUUAAUCUAAAAGCUUAAAAAAUUACAGAUAGGACAUACUUGUUUAAAAAAAUUCCAGAAUACAAGUGAAGAAUUUAAACCACAAAACAAACACAUAAUACAUCAUCCAUAGAAAAGCAACUUCUUACAAAAGGUAGAAAGCAGAGAGAGAAAAGGUUGAGCACUGAAAUGGUUGAACAGAGAAAGAGUAGGGAGCAAUGCAUAAAAUCAUAGAAAUCUCAAGCUCAUGUUACCAAAAUACAAGUUGAGCAGAAUGUGCUUUUGUGUGCAAAGUAAUUACAAUGUUUCGAACUGAACCUUCUGUACACUCUUUAUGCUGUAAAAGCAAAACCUCGGUGCCAAACAGUAUUAGCAUCAUGUCAUGUUCUCUACAGGGUUUAUGCAAUAUCAAGUAUGAGAGUAGGUCAGCUUUUCGUAAGGACAUAGGGGGUUACUUAACUUUGUCUUGGGUAUGAUCCAGGCAACCAUAUGGCCAAAGUUAAACUUUGCAAAAUAACGACGUCUUACUCUGACUUUCCUGAUGCCUUUCCUCUGGGCAUACUUAAAUUAGUCGGAAUGAUGUUGCAAUAUCAUGGCAUGCAAUCGACGAUUCCCUACAGUUUUAGUCAAACAGACAUUCCCAUAUGCAUGUAAAGGUGAAUUCAAGGUUUAGAGUUGCGAUUUGGAGUUGCACUGCACCCACUAAGAUGUCAAGAGUAAGUCUUAAGACUUCUCUAUUGCAUUUGGAAGGAGAUCAAAGAUAAAGAUUUUCUGAUGCAGUGCGGUGAUGUUUAGGAUGAAAAGUUUGUCAAGAUAUGUGGGUCAGUGCUUGGGAUGUCUCUUCCCAUUUUAAAUAGAUACCAAUUUUCUCGGACUUCCUCAUGUAUUGUCAAAGUAGUUUACUUUUCUGGGAUCUAAAUGGGUAGACACAACACGAAGGAAACCUAGACAGGAGAAAAGAAGACGACUAGCAACCUUACUCUUUGGAAAAUCUAUACGAUGAGUUUGUAUUAAUCUCUUCAUAAUAUGUUUAAAACCAAAGCAAUUAGUACAGAAGUAGUAAUGUAAAAGUAAAUAAUUGAAUUUGAGGGAUUAUGGAUACAACAUCAUGCUUUACCAAAUUAGAGCAGCUAAACAACAUGAUCUCAAAAAUCAUGAAAGAGACAAUAUUACACAUCGCUGAAACUCAGUUCAAGCUGUAACAAGUUCGAAUAAGACCAUUGAGUUGAAAUAUGUACAUUACUAUGACAUAGCAAGUUUCAUCCAGCCAGAGCAAAGUACAAGUAUUUAAACAUAUAGGAUCUAUCCUAUGACAAUGCACACAUUGUUUGGCAGUGUGAAAUUUUUAAUCAACUCUACUAGUUAAGUUCCAUGGAAAAUGCAUCAAUACGGCAUUCCAACAUGUCUUAGCAGGUGUUUGGGUUGGCUUAUUUUAACUGACUUUUGGCUUUUAAGUUGUUUUUCAAUUCUGAAAGUGUUUGGAAACAAUAGAAAGAGCUUAAAAACACUUUAUUUAGGCUGAAAAAGUAAGGAAAAAAGCCAAAAGUCAACUGUUGGGUAUCCCAAACUUAUGGCUUUUGGCUUAUGAGUCAUUUUUAAAAAGUCCAUCCAAACGCCCCCAAGGCCUAGCUCAAGUGGCAAAGCGUGGAAGAUUUGUGGCUGAGGUCACAGGUUCAAGCCCCACAUCAUGCAAAGUGAAGCUUGGUAUUUAAGUGGAGAAGGGUAGAGGGGCGGGCCCAUUAUCCACCGAGUUUAGAAGGCUGUGGUUGGUCCAAAGGGCAGGCCACAGACGGAUUUCUUAAUUAUAAAAAAAAAAAAAAAAAAAAAGUUCAAUCCAAACCCCCUCUUAUUAUCUAGGAUUUAAUCUUCCUUUGGGGAUUAGCAUUCCUGUUGGUUUGCCAAUGCAGGACACUAAGUGUCAGCCUAGAAAAGUUCAAUACAUUAUUUUUGAGGGAGCAGUUCUCAUAUCCCUGAUAAUAACAGUGGACUAUGCUUAAUCCAUUUCCAGGUCAAAAGUCUCUGUUUUCAAUUUUGCUACAAAGUCAUGAGCUUUGCUAACUGAUGCAUUUUAAAACCAAGCCAUGCCUUGUGGAUGAGGGGUAACCGGAUUAGUGGGUAUACCACAUUAUUGACAUAAAUGUCACUUGUUCUUUACUCCGCAGAAUUUUUAAACUAGCGGUAGAUGUGAAUGCAAAAAGUUAUUAGUUUAUCGAUAAUGGGAUAUUGGUUUAAUAGUUUCGGUAACGGUUGAAAUUUUUUUAUUAUUGGGCUAUCGGCUCUUAAUGGUUUUAGAUUUUUUCUUAACGGGUUAACCGAUAACCCAUAAUGAAUUAAACAAUUAUAUUUGUACCAUUUGGUAUAUAAAGUCCUUGACAGUUUCAUAUUUUUAUUUUUUACGUCCUCAAACUCUCAGUUAUUCUACAAUGUGAUAGCGUUUGCUUUCGAACAAAAUGUAAUUUGUCAACCCAUGUGUAUGAUUCAUUUGGUUUGUCACCUUGUUAAGUAAUUUUCACAAAAGAAAAUUUGUGUCAAAUUUUAACGGUUAAACCGAUAACCGAAUCGAUAACGAUCAAUAACCGAUACGCCAACAUCUUAAUGGUUCUAUAAUGGUUUAGCAUAUCUACAAACCGACAACCGAUAAACUUCAAAACCAAGUCGAACCGACCGAUAUACGGCCCUACCCUUUUCCUAAGAUAUAUUUGAUGUGUAAUUAGCAGUGAACUAACACACUCAACUGCUCCUUAGUUGAAUACCAAAGCCAUAGGUCCACGAAGAUUUUCGCAAAAGUCCAUUGUCUUGCAAUUUAUUUUUUGUGAACAAGGCAAUGCAAAAGAAAUCAUGGAGAUAAUUAAAGAUCAACAAUAGAGUCAAAUUUCUUAAGGAUAGGACGACCCNCAGGACACUAAGUGUCAGCCUAGAAAAGUUCAAUACAUUAUUUUUGAGGGAGCAGUUCUCAUAUCCCUGAUAAUAACAGUGGACUAUGCUUAAUCCAUUUCCAGGUCAAAAGUCUCUGUUUUCAAUUUUGCUACAAAGUCAUGAGCUUUGCUAACUGAUGCAUUUUAAAACCAAGCCAUGCCUUGUGGAUGAGGGGUAACCGGAUUAGUGGGUAUACCACAUUAUUGACAUAAAUGUCACUUGUUCUUUACUCCGCAGAAUUUUUAAACUAGCGGUAGAUGUGAAUGCAAAAAGUUAUUAGUUUAUCGAUAAUGGGAUAUUGGUUUAAUAGUUUCGGUAACGGUUGAAAUUUUUUUAUUAUUGGGCUAUCGGCUCUUAAUGGUUUUAGAUUUUUUCUUAACGGGUUAACCGAUAACCCAUAAUGAAUUAAACAAUUAUAUUUGUACCAUUUGGUAUAUAAAGUCCUUGACAGUUUCAUAUUUUUAUUUUUUACGUCCUCAAACUCUCAGUUAUUCUACAAUGUGAUAGCGUUUGCUUUCGAACAAAAUGUAAUUUGUCAACCCAUGUGUAUGAUUCAUUUGGUUUGUCACCUUGUUAAGUAAUUUUCACAAAAGAAAAUUUGUGUCAAAUUUUAACGGUUAAACCGAUAACCGAAUCGAUAACGAUCAAUAACCGAUACGCCAACAUCUUAAUGGUUCUAUAAUGGUUUAGCAUAUCUACAAACCGACAACCGAUAAACUUCAAAACCAAGUCGAACCGACCGAUAUACGGCCCUACCCUUUUCCUAAGAUAUAUUUGAUGUGUAAUUAGCAGUGAACUAACACACUCAACUGCUCCUUAGUUGAAUACCAAAGCCAUAGGUCCACGAAGAUUUUCGCAAAAGUCCAUUGUCUUGCAAUUUAUUUUUUGUGAACAAGGCAAUGCAAAAGAAAUCAUGGAGAUAAUUAAAGAUCAACAAUAGAGUCAAAUUUCUUAAGGAUAGGACGACCCCAACCUCCAAUAGUCCCUAGAAUCAGAUUUAUUGUCAUCACUGAAGUAACUCACCUAAUAAAUCCUCACCAAUAAGUUUCAGCGUUGAAAACUUCUGAGUUCAACAGCAAUAUUGGCCAACAGAUCAAAUUAUGUCAAGCUAAUGGCCAAAAAACUAAGGGACAUCUAAGAUGAUUGAAUAUCCACCAAUCCCACUCCAAAACAGCGAAACCAAAGGGGUUACAUAUACUGUUAUGUGAAGGCAUUAUCCCAUGCAAUUGCCAACUUCAGACAUUUGGGGUAUCAAGUUAGGCUUUAAGGUCCCCAACUGCAGACCUUUUGGCUAAAAGUUUUCGAACUUCAGACAAGCAAUUCUCAGCUUCAGUCUUGCGAGUCUGAAGUUAAUUCUGAGGUGGUUAAACUUCAUAAAUUUUGGCUAUUCUUUAGAUAUGGGUCUUAAAUACAGCUAUUUGUGCACUUGCGCUUUUGCCUAUGAUGGAGUUCAAACCCGUGACAAUGCGCCCAACCUAGCAAUCACACGUUGUGCUCUUAUCAUUGUCCUACAAAGCUCAAUAAAUAGAAGUUUAAUACAGAGUCAGACCCUUAAUCUUGCCAGCAAAUUUCAUUUGGACAUUCGAACUAUUGUUUGUCUCAAUUGAGCAUCUGAACACAUGAUAAAGUGUUCCAUUUUUGAAAAUAUUUAGUGCAUAUUUUCAAGAGUUUAUUGGACAAUUAAAUUAACCAUAUAAGAUAUUUCAUCUCCUUUAAUUAUACCAUCAACUUCAAUUAGAAAAAGGUUGGGGUUUAACGGCCUAUUGAGACAAAUGUGUCUAGUUAAAGGAGAUAUAUAUUGUACGUGGUUAACUUAACUACCCAAUAAACUCUUGAGAAUAUGCACAAAUUUUUCCAAAAUUUGAUCCAAAAAAUCCAAUAGGAACAUUUUUAUCAUGUGUUCAAGUGCUCAAUCAGAAUUGGUCGUAAUUCCAGUAUCUGAAUGGAAUUUGAUGGCAACUAUAAGGGGCCUCCUAUUUAUUAAGCCAUAAUUUAUACAUUAUAGAACCAAAUUAAGUAAAAGAAGCUUUUUGUUUAUAACUAUCACCUGUUGAACAGAUUAAUUAGUGAUUAAGUGUAGAGUUAGUUGGUUAAUUAUGGAGUUAGUUAAUCUCAAUUAAUUGAUUAGUUAGUUAGUUACAAGUAUUGAUAUUGUGUAGUGUAGUCCAUAGUAACUAGAGUGUGGAUUAGGCACAAAUAUAAAGCAUUGUACAGUGUUCUCUUCUACAAUUGAAUUUGGGAAUAAACUGAUCCUUCUUUCCCUCACUUUACUCUCUUCCAAUUCCAUAUCUUCAACAUGCAAAGCUUCAAUAUGGUAUCAGAGUGGGUUUGAAGUGAAUCAGUCUAUCGGAUUGAUCAAUUGACUGGCACAGAAAGCUUGUAUCGAUGGCUGCCAUGGCUGAUUUUGCGACUGCAACCAAUGUUGGUACCGGCACUGAGAAUCGGGUUGAGACGAUCGAUCAAGUUGAAAGACGACGGAAUCAUCCACUCUAUCUCCAUAACUCUGAUACUCCAGGGAGCGUUCUCACUGCCGUUCAACUCACAGGGACGGAAACCUAUGCGAUGUGGAGUAGAUCGAUGCUAAUCAACCUCCGAGCUAAGAGCAAACUAGGGUUUGUGCUCGGGACUUGCAGACGAAGUGAUUACAGAGGAGAAAUGGAGGUGCAGUGGGAGAAGUGUAACGCAUUCGUAUUGGCGUGGAUUAUGAACACUGUGUCGAAGGAGUUGCUUAGCAGCNGAAACUAUGCGCUAUGGAGUAGAUCGAUGCUAAUCAACCUCCGAGCUAAGAGCAAACUAGGGUUUGUGCUCGGGACUUGCAGACGAAGAGAUUACAGAGGAGAAAUGGAGGAGCAGUGGGAGAAGUGUAACGCAUUCGUAUUGGCGUGGAUUAUGAACACUGUGUCGAAGGAGUUGCUUAGCAGCAUUGUUUAUGCUACUGAUGCGGCGAUAGUCUAGGCAGAUUUGAAGGAGAGGUUCGACAAAGUUGAUGGAUCUAGGGGCUUUCAGUUGCACAGGGAAAUUUGCACCAUAAAUCAAGGUAACAUGUCAGUUUCCACCUAUUUCUCAAAACUCAGAUUACUGUGGGAUGAAUUCGAUGCCUUGGUUCCCCCACCUUCGUGUAAUUGUGACAACUCUAGGACAUAUGUUAAUCAUUUAGCCUGCCUGAGAUUGUUUACUUUUCUAAUGGGAUUGAGUGAAGUGUAUAGUCAUGCUUGUAGCCAAAUCUUAAUGAUGAGUCCUCUGCCUAGUGUUGGCAAAGCUUAUGGCUGAUAAAGGUCAAAGAUCAGCUGCUAAUUCGCAGGUAGGGAGUAAUAUGCCAGAGCAGAUGACCUUGUAUGCAGGGAAAGGAAGCCUUCCUUGGAGGUUUCAGCCUAGGAAGAAGAACUGGGAUCAAGUUUGUGGCUAUUGUAGGCUCCAGGGCCAUGUGAAGGAUGAAUGUUACAAACUAAACAGAUAUCCACCUGACUGGAAAUUUAAGAAGAAGACAGGGCCAUCAACAAAGUAUCAGGAUGAAGUAAAUCAUGUAGAUGCAACAAGUGAAAUGGGAUUGGGAGAUAGUUUUGCUCCUACUGGUUCUGUAAUGAAAGGGAAUAGCACUGAAACUGCCUCAGCUUUGCCAACACAACCAACUUUUACCCCAAGUCAAUACAACAGAAUCUUACAUAUGCUUGAAAGAGAGGAGGCAGGGGCAAGCUCAAGCAAAUCACCAGAUAUCUUGGCUAACAUGGCAGGUAUGAUUAUCACACCCAAUGCUUUGUCUGUGCAUAAUGAAGGAACACAAGUCAGCAUUAAAAAAGGAGAAGAGAAUUGGAUAGUUGAUUCAGGUGCUACAUGUAAUAUGACAUACAAAGUAAGUAGGCUAAAUCAUGCAUCUAGUUGUGUGAAUAAGCUGGUACAUUUACCAAAUGGUGAGGGUGCACAAGUGUCACAUACUGGCUGUUGUAGCAUAGGAAAUGGAAGAAUAUUGGAUAAUGUUUUGGUAGUGCCUGCAUUCAAACACAGCUUGCUAUCAGUAUCUAAGUUGACCAGACAGCUGAACUGUUCAGUUAACUUUUUUCCUGAGUUUUUUGUACUUCAGGACCUCUUCAAUGGAAAGGUGAAGGGGAUUGGUAAAGAAGUUGAUGGUUUGUACUACCUUCCAGCUGGAUUACAAUGUGAAGGGAACCAAACAGUGUUGAUGACAAAGUAUGACAGUGACAAGUUUCUAUGGCACAACAGGCUGGGGCAUCCCUCUAUGAAGGUGUUGCAGCAUAUGUUCAUAGAUAAACAAUUUAGUGAUGAUGGUGAAUGUGCUAAGUGUUCAGUUUGUCCUUUAGCCGAACAAACUAGAUUGCCUUUUCCUUUAAGCACGUCUAGGACACAAGUUGUUUUUUAUUUGAUUCAUUUGGAUGUAUGGGGACCUUACAAAGUUCCCACUCACAAUGGUUUCAAAUUUUUUCUAACAAUAGUUGAUGAUUGUUCAAGAAUGUGUUGGUUGUUUUUGUUGAAAUUUAAAAGUGAUGUGUUCUCUGUGUUGAAAUCUUUUCUGGCAUUGGUGCAUACUCAGUUUGGUAGAAAUGUUAGAAGGGUAAGGACUGACAAUGGAACUGAGUUUUUCAAUACUGAAUGUGAUAACCUGCUGAAGUCUCUUGGCAUUGUCCAUGAGAGUAGCUGUCCUUAUACUACACAGCAAAAUGGAGUGGUUGAGAGAAAGCACAGGCACAUACUUGAGGUGGCAAGGGCACGUAGAUUUCCGGGCAACAUUCCCAUCAGGUUUUGGGGUGAAUGUGUAUUGGCUGCUGUAUGCUUAAUCAAUAGACUGCCUACACCUGUGUUGAAAGGAAAGUCUCCAUAUGAAUUGUUCCAUGGCCACAAGGCAAAUGUUGAGCAUCUGAGGAUUAUAGGUUGUCUUUGUUAUGCAACCAGGUUGAUCAGACAGGACAAGUUUUCACCCAGAGCUGAGCCUUGUGUGCUAAUGGGUUAUUCAGCAACUCAGAAGGGAUAUCUACUAUACAACUUAUUUCAAAAAAGUUUGUCAUUAGCAGAGAUGUUGUAUUCAAAGAGAACAUAUUCCCAUUCAAGCAGGCAUUCCACAGCCACAAACCAUUGUUUCCUGCUGAAUCAGUAGUAGUCUCAGAUGAUUUUUCUGUACAUGAGGAGGAUGCAGAUCUUCCAAUGCCUAUCUCCACAGAGGAAGCACACUUAGAGCAUGAUCCCAUGGUCUUGAAUGAUGCUGAGCCAGCACUAGAGGAUAUCUGAUGAAGCACCAGUGGAUCAAUCUGNAAGGGUAAGGACUGACAAUGGAACUGAGUUUUUCAAUACUGAAUGUGAUAACCUGCUGAAGUCUCUUGGCAUUGUCCAUGAGAGUAGCUGUCCUUAUACUACACAGCAAAAUGGAGUGGUUGAGAGAAAGCACAGGCACAUACUUGAGGUGGCAAGGGCACGUAGAUUUCCGGGCAACAUUCCCAUCAGGUUUUGGGGUGAAUGUGUAUUGGCUGCUGUAUGCUUAAUCAAUAGACUGCCUACACCUGUGUUGAAAGGAAAGUCUCCAUAUGAAUUGUUCCAUGGCCACAAGGCAAAUGUUGAGCAUCUGAGGAUUAUAGGUUGUCUUUGUUAUGCAACCAGGUUGAUCAGACAGGACAAGUUUUCACCCAGAGCUGAGCCUUGUGUGCUAAUGGGUUAUUCAGCAACUCAGAAGGGAUAUCUACUAUACAACUUAUUUCAAAAAAGUUUGUCAUUAGCAGAGAUGUUGUAUUCAAAGAGAACAUAUUCCCAUUCAAGCAGGCAUUCCACAGCCACAAACCAUUGUUUCCUGCUGAAUCAGUAGUAGUCUCAGAUGAUUUUUCUGUACAUGAGGAGGAUGCAGAUCUUCCAAUGCCUAUCUCCACAGAGGAAGCACACUUAGAGCAUGAUCCCAUGGUCUUGAAUGAUGCUGAGCCAGCACUAGAGGAUAUCUGAUGAAGCACCAGUGGAUCAAUCUGGUAAUGCCCCUGCAGCUGAAGUGGUAUCUGUGAGGAAUGAGGAAGUUCCAGUAAGGAAAUCUACUAGAACUCCUCAUCCUUCUAUUUGGAUGAAGGAUUAUGUGACUCAAUCAUCAAAAUCUCAUUGUCACUCUCAGAGUAAUUAUGUGUCUUAUGACAAUGUGUCCCACAGAUAUAAGGCUUACUUGUUUGCAUUUUCCACAGAAGUUGAGCCCAGAACAUUUGAGGAAGCAGUGAAAGACAAAAGGUGGAUCCAUGCUAUGCAACAAGAAGUACAAGCACUAGAGGAAAAUGGGACCUGGAAAAUAGUUGAACUGCCUAAGGGAAAGAACAUUGUUGGCUGCAAAUGGGUAUUCAAGAUAAGUACAAAGCUGAUGGUCAAAUAGAUAGAUUCAAGGCCAGACUAGUCGUCAAGGGGUAUAGUCAGACUGAGGGAAUUGACUACCAGGAGACCUUUUCUCCAGUAGUCAAGAUGACCACAAUUAGUUCUAUUGUAGCACUAGCUGCUACUCAAAAUUGGAACAUAUAUAAGAUGGAUGUAUUCAAUGCAUUUCUGCAGGGUGAUCUGCUUGAGGAAGUAUAUAUGGAACUACCUAAGGGCUUCUAUAAUGCUGAGAAGGGUCAGCAUCUUGUGUGCAAGUUGGUGAAGUCCUUGUAUGGACUUAAACAGGCUUCUAGGCAAUGGAAUGCAAAACUCACUGAAGCACUUUUGAGUGAGGGUUAUUCACAAAGUCACCUAGACUACUCCUUAUUCACCAAGAGAAGGGGUGAUAGAAUGGUGAUAGUUUUAGUAUAUGUCGAUGAUUUGUUACUCACUGGCAAUGAUGCAGGGCUAAUAGAAGAGACCAGGCAUACUCUUCACAGUCAUUUUAAGAUCAAAGACUUGGGGUGAACUAAAAUAUUUUUUGGGCAUUGAAUUCCUGAGAUCCACUGAAGGCAUUGUCAUGAACCAGAGGAAAUAUGCCCUUGAGCUGAUAGCUGAAGCAGGCCUAGCAAAUGCCAAGCCUCAAAUGACACCACUGGAUUGCAGUCAAAAACUCACCAGUGUUGAGUUUGCUCCAGAUACUCUAUAUGAGGAUACUCCAAGAUAUCAGAGACUUGUUGGCAAAUUGCUCUACUUAACUAUCACAAGACCAGAUAUCUCCUUUGCUGUUCAGCUAUUGAGUCAGUUCAUGCAGAAACCCAAGGUGUCACACUGGAAUGCAGCCUUGAGGGUUGUCAAAUACAUCAAACUAGAACCUGGGAAGGGGAUACUCAUAAGUGCUAAUCAAAAGCCUCAGCUGAAUGGGUAUUGUGAUACAGAUUGGGCUGCUUGUCCAAACACAAGGAGAUCAAUCACUGGUUUCAUUUUGAAGUUUGGUGAUGCUCCUAUUUCCUGGAAGUCCAAGAAGCAACAUACAGUUUCUAGAAGCUCCACAGAGGCAGAGUACAGGAGUCUAGCUGUGUUGACAACUGAGAUUGUUUGGGUCACAAACCUGUACAAAGAGUUGGAGGUAACAUUGAUAGAACCAACACUUAUUCAUUGCGAUAACAAGUCAGCUUUACAGAUUGCUGCAAAUCCAGUCUUCCAUGAGCGCACUAAACACAUAGAAAUCGACUGUCACUUCAUUAGGGAGAAGAUUCAAAAGGGACUGAUCAAGACUGUCUAUGUGCACACUAAGGACCAGCAGGCAGAUUUAUUCACUAAGGCUCUCGGAAGGACACAACAUGAUUCACUAAUGAACAAGCUUGGAUUAUUGAAUUUUUUCAAUACAUCCAGCUUUGCGGGGGAGUGUUGAACAGAUUAAUUAGUGAUUAAGUGUAGAGUUAGUUGGUUAGUUAUGGAGUUAGUUAAUCUCAAUUAAUUGAUUAGUUAGUUAGUUACAAGUAUUGAUAUUGUGUACUGUAGUCCAUAGUAACUAGAGUGUGGAUUAGGCACAAAUAUAAAGCAUUGUACAGUGUUCUCUUCUACAAUUGAAUUUGGGAAUAAACUGAUCCUUCUUUCCCUCACUUUACUCUCUUCCAAUUCCAUAUCUUCAACAUGCAGAGCUUCAAUAUCACCUUUUGAAAUUGAAAAGCUCAAAAUCAAAAACAGAAAUUUCAAGCAUUUCCCAAUUUCCACAUUGUAAUUCUGAUAUUAUAAAACAGAUAACAGAAAAAGAAGAGGAAAAGGGAGUUCAGAGGAAAUUACAUGGCAGCAAAUGAGGCAAACCAUUUGAGGAGAGAAGUACCAAAUCCAAGACCACCAAGCUUGGUAGCAUGGUCAAAGAGCUUCUUAGCAGCUAACUUGAGCUCAUUCAGAUCUUCAUUAAUCAAUUUGUUAGUGUCUUCAUCAGUCUUCAUAGCCAAAUAAUCCAUCCUCACCAUUUUUCUUUCUACGAGAUCUGACAAAAUUAUUCAAGAAAUAGUGAAUAAUCAAUCCAGUCAGUCGAGUAUUUUUUCCAAGAUGAGAUUGAUAUGGGUGUUAAAUCUGUAGUUAUUGCACAUGCGCGUCCUUACAUUCCGCCACUUUGACCCAACUCAACGUAACGUGCUAACACGUUUCUUACAAUACCGGAUUUCACUCACUCAAAAUUUUAAGUUUGAAAUGCCAAUUUUUAUACCGCGGGGUUGAUUUUGGUCGGUUAGUAGUUAAGGUUAAAAUCAAAAGUAAAUUAAUUUAAUUGGUAUUUAAAUUUUUAAAAUUAAAUUAAAUUAAUUAUAAUAUAUAUUUAUCGAUUUGGUUUAGUUUGAUUUUGAAUUAUAUAUAAAAAUAAAAGUAAUAAUACGUUCAAAACUGAGAAAAAGUGACAAUAAGUCAUUCAAAAUGAAAAAUCGUUAGAACGAUUGAUAUUGUAGAAUUUUUAAUUAUUAAAUUAUUGUGAAUAAAGUUUCAAAUUUUACCAUUUUAACUUAAAAGAAAGAUAUAUUGAUAUUUCUAGUCCCACCAAGAAUUAUCGCAGACAUUCAUAUUAUGUAAAAUCAAUAAGAUAAAUAUUUUUAUCUUAAGAAUUUAUAUUUACAUAAAUAGAUUAAAAAAUAAAAUUUGAUGAAAAUGUAUAUAAGAUCUUUAGAUCUUUAAAUUAUUUUUAAAAAUAAUGUAGUGUGUAUGUAUAAUAUAAAAUACAUGUAUAUAAUCUAUCGGUAAUGUUUGGUUGUUUCUUCAGUUUUUUCAAACAAAUCCAAACUCAAACCAAACACUAUUGGUUUUUAAAAAACUAAACCAAAGCAAACUAAACCCAAAUAAAAUCAGGUUAUCUAAUCUAUUUGGAUCGAUUUUUAUCCAAACCAUAAAUAUCCAUAGAUUGAAGUCCUUAUUUUUGUAAGUUUAGAUACAAAAAAGGUGUCCUAAUGGCAUAUAUCAAGGGCGAUAAAGGACAUGUACGAUGGAGCCAAGACUCGGGUAAGAACGGUAGGAGGAAACUCAGAGUAUUUUCCUGUUGAGAUAAGACUCCAUCAAGGUUCAGUGUUGAGCCCUCUCUUGUUUGCCUUGGUGAUGGAUGAGCUGACGCGAUCUAUACAGGAGUAGUUACCAUAGUGUAUGCUAUUUGCAGAUGAUAUAGUAUUGAUUGAUGAGAUGCGGACUAAAGUUAAUGAUAGGUUGGAGGCUUAAAGACACGCCUUGGAGUCCAAAGGAUUCAAGUUGAGCAGGACCAAAACUGAAUACUUGGAGUGCAAAUUCAGUGUUGAGAGGGAUGAAACAAACUUUGAUAUGAGGCUUGCCACUCAACCUAUCCCCAAGAGGGAAAACUUUAAGUAUCUGGGGUCCAUCAUCUAGAAUAGUGGCGAUAUCGACGAUAAUGUCACACAUCGUAUUGGGGCAGCCUGGACUAAAUGGAGGCUGGCAUCUGGAGUAUUGUGUGAUAAGAAGAUACCACCUAAACUCAAAAGUAAGUUUUACAGAUUGGUGGUUAGACCAGCUUUGCUGUAUGGGGUGGAGUGUUGGCCAGUAGAUGUAUGUUGCAGAGAUGAGGAUGUUGAGAUGGAUGCGUGAUCACACCAUGAGUGAUAAGGUUAGGAAUGAGACCAUUCGGGAGAAGCUAGAGGUGGCUCCGGUGGCAGAUAAGAUAAGGGAAGCGAGACUGUGAUGGUUUGGACAUGUGCAGAGAAGGAGUACCGAUGCUCCUGUUAGGAGGUGCGAGAUGUUAGUUUUAGGAGUUGCACAGAGGGGUAGAGGUAGACCGAAGAAAUACUGGGGGGAGGUGAUUAGACAUGAUAUGACCGAACUUAAUUUCACUGAGGACAUGACUCUAGAUAGGAAGAAGUGGAGGUUGCGUAUUAGAGUAGUAGACUAAUUGGUUGGUAGGGUUAGGUGGUUACCUAGUCAUGGGUUUUAGUAGGGUAGAGGAGUAGUAGUGUUUUAUAAUGUGUGUAUCAUUAUUUGUUGCUUAUGUGUUAAAAAAUUUAAUUUUUUUUUAUUUGUUCUCUUUUUCUUCUUGCUUUUCCCUUUCUAUUACUUUUUAUCAUAUCUAGUUUAUUCUGCGUAUGGAUUUUUGAGACGAGGGUUCCCAGAAGACAGUCUCUUUACUUCUAUGAGGUAGUGGUAAGGUCUGCGUACAUUCUGACCUCCUCAGACCUCACUUGUGGGAUUUCACUAGGUAUGUUGUUGUUGUUGUUGUAGAUACGAAAAUUCUGAAAAACACUCUGGCAGUAUAUUGAUACCAAUUUGUAUCAUAUAGGAUUAUAUUUUUUUUUAAUUAAUAAAUAAGAAAUAAAUAAAAAAAUUUAUUAAACUCUAAAUUAGUAGAAAAUAUAUUCGUUGUGAUACUCCAUCGAUAUAUUUAUACCAUAUUGAUAUUGUAUAGGAUUAGAAAAUUAUUAAAGUUACAAAAUUAUCUAUUAAAUUUUAAAUAGUAUUACCUAUGUCCCAUAUUAUAUGGGCACUUUUCAUUUUAUAUGAUUAUUAAGAAAUCAUCAAUACAUUAGUAGAUUUUACCAUUCAUUUAUAUCAAUGUAUAUUAAAUUAAGUUAGAAAAAAUCAUUAAUACACCAAUUAAUGGUGGGGUAAAAUGGGAAAAAAUAAAUUAAUUCUAUCCUAAUUUAAUAAGUGUCCAUAUAAUAUGAGAUAAGUAUUUAUAGAAAGAUGUCCUUAUAAUAUGAGACGGAGGUAGUAGAAAAUAUAUUAUUGUAAUACUCCGUCUCUAUAUUGAUAUCUUGUCGGUAUCAUAUAAUUUUGCGAUCAUCUUUUAAUAAAUAAAAUAAUUAAGAGAAAAUUAUUAAGUCACAAACUUAUUUAUUAAAUUCUAAAUCAAUCAAAAGUAUAUUCUUUGUGAUACUCUAUCGAUAUAUUGAUACCACAUCAAUAUCAUAUAGAGCUGAACUUAAUCUUCUGUGAUACCCUGUUGGUAUGUAUAUACUCUACUGAUAUAUGACAUAAGGUGGGUGCUGAUGUCAGCGCACAAACUAUAAUAGUAAUGGGGUGAAUUUUAAUAAUAGAGAGAUAUAAAAUAAAUAAUUUACUUCAAAGGGGCUUAAUUUUUCCUAAAUAAUUUGACGAUAAACAAUUUUACAACUAAAUUCAUUUUGUAAAACUAAUCCGUGAGUGAUAAUUGAAUAAGAAAGGUCCAUAAUUAAACCUGGGCCUAAAUGAAUUUUUGCAGCCCUUGGAAACCCUAAUACAAAACCCUGAAGUCUUCCAGCGCGUAUAAGUACAACUGGUUCCUAAUCAAUUCCCCCAUCUCUUAUUUGCUAUGCCUGCUCUUUAAUUUUCCCUUAUCUUUUUAGUACUUCGAUUUCGUUUUCUUUUUGCUAGUAAUGGUGGUUUUAGGAGUUCCUCAGUGAUGAAGAAAAAACAGAUGACGAGUCUGAUAUCCAUUCUUUUAAAAAAUUUGAAGACAAAACGAGGCAUUUGUCUGAGAGGAACUCCAAUCUCCAUCUUCAAUUUUUUCGUUUUUCUCUGCUUUGAUCGAAUUUUAUUUUGAAAACGAAUCUGAUUGCUUCAUAUUUCUCAUAUACAAAUUUACUAAAUAUCUUUACAUUAAAGUAUAAUCGGCUCUGUGAUAUUUAACAGACCCAAAUACUUGUUUUUCAAAUAAUUAAAUGCGAUGAUUGAACUGUUUAUCAGAAGGAAAAAAAAACGUAACCAAGUUUGAGAUCCAAAUAAUCUGUUUUGGUUUUUUUGGACGUUUAUUUAAAAAAUAGUUCAACAAUGUUUUCUCUUAAAUGAUAUCUUUGUUUGGUGUGAUGGAUAAGGGAAACUAAUUUCAGAAUAAUUUUUUAGUGAUUUUUAAUUUUUUGUUUGGUUGCGGGAUAACUUAUCUCAAGAUUCCCAAUUAGUUUUGGGAUAAUAAGUUAUCCGAUGGAAUAAUAAUCAAUAUCAAAAUAACGGGAUAAAGUAAAUAAAAUAACAAAAAUGUUGUCCUUUAUUCAUUUAGUCUCGUCAAAAUUCUAUCUCAAAAUAUCAUUUACCUCAAUACUCAUUUACACUGAAUGCUCUUUUAAAACUCAAUAAAAUAUAAACAGACUUAGUUUAAAAUCAAACUUUGUUUAAUGCAUGAAAACUAUUAAUCUCAAUAUCAAAAUAAUGCAUAGAAAAGUCAUGAUCGUCAACUCAAUCAGGGUUUAUGGGAAAAAAAUAAUGAACAACAAUUUUAACAAUAUAAUAACAAUCUCAAUACAUAAAUAUAUGGAGAGCCAAUCCCAUCUUUCAUGAGCGUGCAAACACAAAUAAAUAAAUUGUCAUUUCAUUCAAGACAAGAUCAAAUCAGGCAUGAUUCACACUAUAUACAUUAUGUUCCUACUCAACACCAAGUUCAUGAUAUUUUGACUAAAGGAUGGGGGCAGCGCUAAUUUUCACAGCUUGACUGUUAGUUAGUUCCUAAUGUACUGUGAUUAGUUUGUUAGUAGGAUAUGGCCAGCUGACAUUAGUUGGCAAUUGGGCAUUAGAUUUUUGUGAUUGUUCUACACUCCUCUAUAUAAGGAGGAGAUAAUGAUGUAUAGAUGAAAACAAUGAUGGAUAUUCUACAAUAAACAAAUUUUCUGUUAGCCUUCAAUUCUCUCUGUUUAGAACCUCUAUUCAUGGAGUCUUACCUCAAUUUCGUUUUAUCUUGUAUGAGAAUCUUGAUUGUCUCGCUUCAAAGGUUGAGAAAUCCUAUCUCAACAAGACCCUUUAUAGUUUAGAAUUACAAGCGGGAGAUUUUAAUCUUGAUUGGUUGAAAUGAUUAAAAGUAAAUAAUACAAGGGUCGACCGGUUAAAUGGUAAAUAGGUUAGGGUAAAACGAAUCCAACAUUUUAAUUUUGAAGGCCAAAUUAAAAUUUUCAAAAAAGUUAAUUAAACCUUACUAAUUCUUCUCCGUUAGUAGCAUUUGAAUCAGAUUUUUGACCCAUUUCACUAACUAUAUGGGUAUAACAAAACAACAACAACAUACCAGUGGAAUCUCACAAGUGAGGUCUGGGGAGGUAGAAUAUACGCAGACCUUAUUUCUACCUUAUAGAAGUAGAGAGGUUAUUUUCGGAACCCUCAUUUCAAAAACCCAUAAGCAGAAUAUGGGUAUAAAUAGUCCAAAUUAUAAAUGAAGACAUUUUUUUAUCCUUUCAGACAGUACAAGAAUAUAUUUUACCUUGAUAUAGAAUAAUAAUAAUAAUUUUCUGUGUUCUAAUUUAUGGACCUGCUUUUUAAUUUUGUGCCUUUACUUUUUUAUUGUUUUGUAAAAAAAAAAUUCAUAUUUUUUAUAAGAAAAUAAAGCACUAUGAUGCGAAUCAUACAAGAAAAUAGGAGUAUCAAAACACAAACACGUAACAGUUGACAAACACAUAUUCGAUGGUAACAGAAGAAAUAAAAUUAAUAGAACUAAAAGGAGAAAUUUUUAAUUGAAGGUAAAGGACAAUUGGGAUUCAACAGGGGUAAGACGGGCAUUUUGAGAGUUGAGACCAUUCAAUUAAAUUAGUAUUACUUUUUUUAGAUAAACAACACAAUCUAAUGAGGUUUGAGGAUAGAAAAGUUAUUUUCGAUAAACCAUCAAUUAAAAAAAUAUUUUUUAUAAUGUGUAUUAUCUCAACAAAUAAUGAAGGUAUAAAUCAUAAUCGUGUUCUUUAACUUAAUUUCAUUUAUCAUUUAUGUCCUUCAACUUUGGGUGCGCAUAAGAAAACACUUAAAUUUGUAUAAAAUUAAACAAGUAAACACACAUCUUACAUAGUAAUUUGCGUCCUACACGACAUACUACAUGGCAUUCUACAUGUAUUAUGCCACGUGAGAUUGUUCAACUUUGAUAGAUAACUUUGAUAGAUAACAAUUGAGACUAAAUUAAAUUGCAUAUUCAUAUGAUUUGGUGCAAACACAUGUGACAGGAUUUUAGCUUCAAAUAAUGCAAAAUAACAAAAUGAGUAUCUACCUUUGCCCACCAAAUAAGAGGCAUUAGGUGACGCCAACCAAUGAAGAAAUAGGCCUUAUCCUUUCUCUUAUCUUACUCACAGCAAAGCCACCAAAAUAAUUUGUCCACUCUCCCCAUACUCCAUACAAACCAUUUCAGCAGAACCUGAGAGGGGCACAAGAGAUUUUGAUCAGAGUAAAAUUAUGGCUGCCUCUCUACAAGCUGCUGCUACUCUUAUGCAACCAACAAAGGUUGGUGCUAGAAACAACCUACAGUUGAGGUCUGCUCAAAGUAUCAGCAAAGCAUUUGGUGUUGAGCCAGUUGCAGCCAGGAUCACCUGCUCUUUGCAAACUGAAAUCAAGGAAUUGGUUCAGAAAUGCACUGAUGCUGCCAAGAUUGCUGGUUUUGCUCUUGCCACCUCUGCCCUCGUCGUCUCAGUAAGUUACUUUUCUUAUUCAAUUCUUGUCUGAUUCAUGUUCAUAAUGCCCAUAUAUCCAGUGUUGUUACCUGCAUAAUAAAGUGAUCAAUUCAGACAGUACAAUAUCAGGUAUUCCAUGUAGGCUCUAGUCACCAGAAAAUAAUGCAAAUUAGAAGUUUUUCAUCAUCAUUCAACCAAGAUCUUUCUAAACCACCCCAUCAUAUUAUGUAUACAAUUCAACAUGCCAGCUAUUAAACAACUUACUAUUAAAAUACAAGACAAAAUGUCAUGAGAACCCCCGUUCUUCAGGGGUGCCCUCAGCGUUAACGAACAUGUACUUGGUUGUAUCUGCUGACUCGUUUAGAUCACGAGGAGGCACAAAAGCAAGAAAGCCACUUUUAAACUAUGAAUGUAUCAGUCAUGUGAAUAGGAUAGGAUGAAAGAGGAAUUUCAUUCAUUAUUUUAAAAAGAAGAAAAAAACUGUCAUAUCCCUCUAUUGUGUACGAAAUUUAUGGUUUCCUUUGGUAUAAGUCCAAUUGCCUACAUUUAAGAUGAUAAGAAACACUAUAACUGGAUUAGAGAUGAUUGCUAACUUACCAGUAUGACAUACCCAUAAUUCUAAAACAAGGUAAAACGUUCUUCAAGUUUGUACGCCUCAUAUUCAGUCAUUCACCUUCUUUGAAGUAACCAUAACUACCAAAUAUCUAUACCAAGAGUAGAGGGCGUUUGAUGUCUUUGAGACUAUAUAGAAAUACUUUAGAAAGCUUAUUUACCAUAGCCACACCAUUUUAUACCCUGACACUGCCACCUCCAAAAUUAAGAUCUGCCUAUUCAAACCUCCAAUGCCUUGGCAAAAUUUCCUAGCUCAUUUCUGGAUGUUCAUGCAGUCAUCUGUAUUUCAGGACAAAUAUCGAUAGUCCUAUAAAGGUCAACUGGUUUAUGGAUUCUGCACUUAUCUAUAAUAUAUAUUUACAUGUAUAUCUAAUCAAAUUUCUACUUUUAUUUUACUUGGUAUGAUGAUGACAUGAGUUGAGCUUAUACGGAGGAACAUAGUCAACGAGAAUUCAUAUAGCCGACCCCAACUUUUGGACUGACGCGUAGUUGUCAUUGUUCUUGUUUCUCAUGCAAAAAGUUCUAAAGUUUAUAUACUUGGCUACACAGGGAGCAAAUGCGGAAGGAGUUCCAAAACGUUUAACCUAUGAUGAAAUCCAAAGCAAGACAUACAUGGAAGUAAAGGGAACUGGAACUGCUAACCAGUGCCCUACCAUUGAAGGAGGUGUUGACAGCUUUGCCUUCAAACCAGGCAAAUAUAGUGCCAAGAAAUUCUGCUUUGAGCCCACAUCAUUCACGGUCAAGGCAGAGGGUGUGAGCAAGAACGCAGCCCCAGACUUCCAAAAAACCAAGCUCAUGACACGCUUAACCUACACUCUUGAUGAGAUUGAGGGACCAUUCGAAGUGUCUCCUGAUGGCAAUGUUAAGUUUGAGGAGAAGGAUGGAAUUGAUUAUGCUGCUGUUACAGUUCAGCUUCCUGGUGGUGAGCGUGUGCCCUUCCUUUUCACUAUCAAACAGCUAGUGGCAAGCGGCAAGCCAGAAAACUUUAGUGGUGAGUUCCUUGUGCCAUCAUACAGAGGUUCAUCCUUCCUUGACCCAAAGGGACGGGGUGGAUCAACUGGCUAUGACAAUGCUGUUGCAUUGCCUGCUGGAGGGAGAGGAGACGAAGAGGAGCUUCAGAAGGAGAACAUAAAGAACUCUGCAUCUUUAACAGGAAACAUCACCUUGAGUGUUACUAAGAGCAAGCCAGAGACUGGUGAGGUCAUUGGAGUAUUUGAGAGCAUCCAGCCAUCCGAUACUGAUCUGGGAGCGAAGGCCCCCAAGGAUGUAAAAAUCCAGGGUAUCUGGUAUGCCCAACUUGAAUGAUGGAGAGUUCUAGAAUAUGUGUAUCAUUUCUUGGUCUGAAUUUUGUUGUAAGUUACAAGGUUAAACAUUCUGUGACCCCAUUUGGACAAGUAUUAAAACAACUAUCUUGCUGUAUAUUAUCACGCUCAAGUAAUAUUUCUUGCUGAUAGCCAGUUACAAACUUUUCUAAUGCUUGUACACACCCAGGAUAGACAAUCCAUACCCACUAAACUUUACAAUCAUCAAAAUUAGUGAAUGUGUUCAGCAAAGGUAAGCUCAAUUAAGUAUUUUUAUGUUGCUAAGAGAUUUUAAACCAUGGAGAGGCUGAUCCUUAUCAGUAUAUAUCUGAUAAGUUACAAGCAACUUUAGUGUUCAUCACAGAUCAUGCAGUGGUAAAGCAGAAGAAAUUCACACUAAAGUAGAAAUGGACAUACAGACGGAGAGAAAUCAAUUGAUCAAGAGAAAUGAACAAAGGAGCCAAUAUAAAUGCUUUACUCUUCCUCGUGUUAAGUUCCAAAGAAGUAACAAUCAUCUUACCGUGUUCAAUGUUGACUGCCAAUCAUAUAGAAUUGGUAUUCUAGUCCCAGGUAUCAAACUGGCAGUUGAACUUUUCUUCUCUUGCUUAGGAGUUCACCACUCUGAAUGAACCUUCAGAAGAGAAUUGUAACAUAUUUGCAUACAGGGCUAGGCUGUAGAACCUUAGUGCUGAGUAUAUAACUAUAUAUCAUCGAUCUAGUGCCAGCAAAAAUUUCUAAAUCAUUAGUUCCACCUGCAAGCAUGGUCACAGUAGAUGACAUCUGCAGACUUCUAUAUUCCUUGGAUAAAGACAAAAAGAACC